GAAAUAGCUCAGUCGGUUAGAGUGCUGGUCUGUCACGCCAGAAGUCGCGGGUUCGAACUCUAUACA